UACGUAGGUCCCGAGCGUUAUCCGGAUUUAUUGGGCGUAAAGCGAGCGCAGGCGGUUAGAUAAGUCUGAAGUGAAAGGCUGUGGCUUAACCAUAGUAUGCUUUGGAAACUGUUUAACUUGAGUGCAGAAGGGGAGAGUGGAAUUCCAUGUGUAGCGGUGAAAUGCGUAGAUAUAUGGAAGAACACCAGUGGCGAAGGCGGCUUUCUGGACUGUAACUGACGUUGAGGCUCGAAAGUGUGGGUAGCAAACAGG
rnacentral:rRNA from 1 species